ACGAACGCUGGCGGCGUGGCUUGACAUAGAACCUAAUACAUGCAAGUCGAGCGGACAGAUGGGAGCUUGCUCCCUGAUGUUAGCGGCGGACGGGUGAGUAACACGUGGUGCCUGUAAGACUGGGAUAACUGGAAACCGGGGCUAAUACCGGAUGGUUGUUUGAACCGCAUGGUUCAGACAUAAAAGGUGGCUUCGGCUACCACUUACGUGAUCGGCCACACUGGGACUGAGACACGGCCCAGACUCCUACGGGAGGCAGCAGUAGGGAAUCUUCCGCAAUGGACGAAAGUCUGACGGAGCAACGCCGCGUGAGUGAUGAAGGUUUUCGGAUCGUAAAGCUCUGUUGUUAGGGAAGAACAAGUGCCGUUCAAAUAGGGCCUUCGACUGACAUGCGGCACCUUGACGGUACCUAACCAGAAAGCCACGGCUAACUACGUGCCAGCAGCCGCGGUAAUACGUAGGUGGCAAGCGUUGUCCGGAAUUAUUGGGCGUAAAGGGCUCGCAGGCGGUUUCUUAAGUCUGAUGUGAAAGCCCCCGGCUCAACCGGGGAACUCGCUAGACCUAGCUAGACUGGAGGGUCAUUGGAAACUGGGGAACUUGAGUGCAGAAGAGGAGAGUGGAAUUCCACGUGUAGCGGUGAAAUGCGUAGAGAUGUGGAGGAACACCAGUGGCGAAGGCGACUCUCUGGUCUGUAACUGACGCUGAGGAGCGAAAGCGUGGGGAGCCGACAGGAUUAGAUACCCUGGUAGUCCACGCCGUAAACGAUGAGUGAUAAGUGUUAGGGGGUUUCCGCCCCUUAGUGCUGCAGCUAACGCAUUAAGCACUCCGCCUGGGGAGUACGGUCGCAAGACUGAAACUCAAAGGAAUUGACGGGGGCCCGCACAAGCGGUGGGACAUUCGCGAUAAGCGCUACGUCCCCUUCGGGGGCAGAGUGACAGGUGGUGCAUGGUUGUCGUCAGCUCGUGUCGUGAGAUGUUGGGUUAAGUCCCGCAACGAGCGCAACCCUUGAUCUUAGUUGCCAGCAUUCAGUUGGGCACUUUAAGGUGACUGCCGGUGACAAACCGGACGUUAGACCGAUAGAUCGCUAGGAAGGUGGGGAUGACGUCAAAUCAUCAUGCCCCUUAUGACCUGGGCUACACACGUGCUACAAUGGGCAGAACAAAGGGCAGCGAAACCGCGAGGUUAAGCCAAUCCCACAAAUCUGUUCUCAGUUCGGAUCGCAGUUUGCAACUCGACUGCGUGAAGCUGGAAUCGAUCGCCUGACUAGUAAUCGCGGAUCAGCAUGCCGCGGUGAAUACGUUCCCGGGCCUUGUACACACCGCCCGUCACACCACGAGAGUUUGUAACACCCGAAGUCGGUGAGGUAACCUUUAGGAGCCAGCCG
rnacentral:rRNA from 1 species